rnacentral:lncRNA from 1 species
GGUUGCCGGUUAAAGACGAUGGUUGGCUUCGAGUUUUAUUUGCCAGGUUGCACUAGUUAUCGCUGCUUGCAGCAAGUUAUCCGGCUAUUCUUCAGCUAGUUAUCGGUGUUCUUCCUACGUCGUGAAGAUCAGGACAACGUGUCGCAUCAUCUGGUAUCAAAGCUUUCGUUACCACGGUAGGAAUUUUAUCCCUAGCUACAUAUAUAUUUUGCUUCGUCCUAUCCACCAAAAAGCCGGAAAAAUAUAUUGCUUAGACCUUUGUUUCAAUCUAUUAUUUUAGUG